AGGUCUGAGUGGAGCCUGGCUGGGUGUUUUUUCCUCAUUCAGGUCGAUUAGUGGGCAGACGUGUGGAGCUGCUUAUAUGAGGACUGUAUUAAUGCUCAGCUGUGACUGUGGUUCUCUCCCAGACUGACCCUGCCUACAAAUUUAGGACCACCAGCAUGUGGAGACAGAACCAGGAGGCCCUACACAGGACUGCUGAUCGGAACCAAUGCUUUAACCAAUAGAAUAAGAGCCACAGACCCUAAACAUCAUUCAGAAUUGCAUGACUUGGAGCUCGAAUUGGAAAUGUUUAAAUCUGCAGCCAAGAUGCAGACAGCAUGCCCUUAUUACCAUGACCCGGGGCUGCUCCUUAUGCUGUAUUUUGGGACUUCAGAUCAAGUGGAGCAUGGUGAACUUUACCCAAGAACUAAACACAGCUCAUGAGAGCGAUGUUCUCCA